rnacentral:rRNA from 1 species
UAGGGAAUAUUAGAAAUGGACGAAAGUCUGAUCUAGCAACACCGCGUGUGCGAAGAAGGCCUUCGGGUUGUAAAGCACUUUUUGGAAGGAUUAGGAAGGAAUGUACUUCCAGAAUAAGUCUCGGCUAACUACGUGCCAGCAGCCGCGGUAACACGUAGGAGGCAAACGUUAUCCGGAUUUACUGGGCGUAAAGCGCGUGUAGGUGGUUUGGUAAGUAGAGCGUGAAAGCUCCUGGCUCAACUGGGAGAGGUCGUUCUAAACUGCCGGACUAGAGGAUGGUAGAGGGAGGUGGAAUUCCGGGCGUAGUGGUGAAAUGCGUAGAUAUCCGGAGGAACACCAGUGGCGAAAGCGGCCUCCUGGCCCAUUUCUGACGCUCAGACGCGAAAGCUAGGGUAGCAAACG